GGCGGAGAAAGCACAUGGUCCUCCUGCAGUUUACUGCCAUUAUGUGCUUACCGUGGUGGAGACAACCAUGAGUGGCUUGAAACAUAUCCAGUACCCCAUGCUACUGCCCAGAACACCAUAUUAGGUCUCAAGAAACAAAUCACAAGGCACUCCAGAAAGAAUUGAGUCAGUAUUCCAUAUGGUAACUCUCUGGGAGUUAAAGAGUUAAUUCUCCAGCUCCGUGGAUUGCAGUGGUGAAGAAGGUAUCCCAAAGAGGAACGAACUUCUGCAAAUGUUAGUCUGGCAUGUUUCUUGGAGUCUUUGGAAGCCAAGGACAUUUGGCUUGGUAAUAAUUCCUAGAAAUGUCAGUAAUAAAUGAAUAUUUCACAUGGGAUCAAUGUGAUCCUUGUUAAGACAAAUUCUUUAUGUAAGACUUCUGAAGAUUAUGACAUCUGGCAUUAUUAGCCUGCAUCUCUCAUAUUGUGAAAUGUCAGUGCUUGUUUUUUGUGAACCUCAUGUUACAGCAUCUAUGUAUAGAAAGUUUGGAUUACGUGUACACUGUGUAAUACUUUUUUUUUUUUUUAAUUGAAGGAUUCUACUUAGGAGAUUGCUUUCUGAGUCCUCAUUACUGCUCUAGAGAACUUAGGUUAGUAUUAUUACUUUUGUUCAGCUUGUUUCUGUUCUCUUUCAAAUGUCCUAAUAAAAGAAAAUGGAAUUACACUGACAUUUUUAUUUAA